AUUGAACGCUGGCGGCAGGCCUAACACAUGCAAGUCGAGCGGAGCGGCGGACGGGUGAGUAAUGCCUAUGAAUCUGCCUGGUAGUGGUGGAUAACGUCCGGAAACGGGCGCUAAUACCACAUACUCUCAGCUGAGCCUAGGUCGGAUUAGCUAGUUGUUGGGGUAAAGGCCUACCAAGGCGACGAUCCCUAACUGGUCUGAGAGGAUGAUCAGUCACACUGGAACUGAGACACGGUCCAGAAUCCUACGGGAGGCAGCAGUGGGGAAUAUUGGACAAUGGGCGAAAGCCUGAUCCAGCCAUGCCGCGUGUGUGAAGAAGGUCUUCGGAUUGUAAAGUACUUUAAGUUGGGAGGCGUUACCAACAGAAUAAGCACCGGCUAACUCCGUGCCAGCCGCCGCGGUAAUUC
rnacentral:rRNA from 1 species